rnacentral:lncRNA from 1 species
AGGUAUGUGGUAGGAGAAACAUGAUUGGGCUCCUUGUUCUUACCAUAGUUAGUUAAUUCGGAUUCGGCAAAAAUUCGGUACGGGUAUAAUUCGGAUAAAAUUCGUCUUCUAAUUUUUAAAUUCGUUGAAAAAAUCGGCUAAAAAGCGGAUUAGUCAAUUAUUCGGAUACGUGAUUUAUACGGAUAUUAUACGUUCACCAAUUAAAAAUUCGGGAUAAAAAAUUCGGCUAUUAAAUUAAAAAAUAAUAAACUAUAUUAUGCCUAAAAAAAAAUAAAUAAUUAACCAAAUAAGAGAUCAAGAUAAUCUAUAUUUAAAUGUAAAAUACAAGAGUUCCUAAAUUCUAAAGUCUAAAGUAGGCAUGGUCCCUAGGUUAAUUAACAUUAUUUAGCUCUAUGUUUGGGUCUUAAGUUCUUAACAAUUUAAGGUGCAUAACAGAGAAUGGACACAUUCAAUUUAAGCACUCGAGCCAUUUGUGUAUAAAAAAGUAUCCAUCAGAUGGACUAAAAGCUUCCAACUUUUGCUUUGAAGAAUGAAAACUCAAAUCGUACUUGGUUUGUAAAGAACCACCUUAUUACUGAUCUAUAUAUCGUUGGAUAGCGGAAGCGGAAGAGGAAGAGGCGACGAGGAGGGUUUCGAUUUCUGAAGAGGGAAGAACUCGAUCUUCGAUUUCUGAAGAGGAGGGCUUCCGAUUGCGUUCGGCGAGCAGCCGGAAGGGAAGAGGGGGAGGGGAAGGGACCGCGACCGCCGCACGGGUCGGUGGCAGGGCCGCACCGCCGCAGGGGUGAUAAGCUUAUCAGGGCAAACCCUUUUUUGGGAGGGGUGG